rnacentral:rRNA from 1 species
UACGGAGGGUGCGAGCGUUGUCCGGAAUCAUUGGGCGUAAAGGGCGCGUAGGUGGCCCGGUCAGUCUUUGGUGAAAGCGCGGGGCUCAACCCUGCGUCGGCCAGGGAUACUGCCGCGGCUCGAGCACUGUAGAGGCAGGCGGAAUUCCGGGUAUAGCGGUGGAAUGCGUAGAGAUCCGGAAGAACACCGGUGGCGAAGGCGGCCUGCUGGGCAGUUUAGCUGACACUGAGGCGCGACAGCGUGGGGAGCAAACAGG